AGGCUGGCCAAGAACAGGGAGGGGCUGCCCUGGUUUGGGGUGAUGGGUGAUCUGGAAAUAGCCUUGGGGGAGGGAUCUGGUUCUGAAGUUAGCACCGAAGGCUUUGUCUGUGCUUAGAAUGCCUGAUACUUAGCCAUCAGGAAAAGGAGGUGUCUUUGCAGCUCCAUUUUUCCCCCCAGGGCAUGUAUUCACCCCUCUGGGUUGGUGGCUGUAGUACUAACCAGACAUAACUUUUAUUCUGGACUACCUGGUGUUUUCUCCUGCUCAGGGCUUUACGUGCUACUUAACUGGAUCCUCCAAAAGAGGGCCUGGGGGUUGCUUAUGGCCUGGAGGUGGGCCAGCUGGCCACUCACAUACAGCAGCCUCGCUACUUGUGCCAGCUUGUGAUCCCCUACUCAGCACCAGCACUCGUGCAGAUGCCUGGAGCAACUAAUGCAAGAUUUAGGUGGUGUGUGCCUGUGAUCCCAGCUACUUAAGAGGCUGAGACAGGAGGAUCGCCUGAGCCAGGGAGGUCGAGGCUGCAGUGAACCGUGAUUAUGCCACUGCAUUCCAGCCUGGGUGACAAAGCGACAGAGCAAGACCCUAUCUCAAAAAAAAAAAAAAACAAUCCUGAAGACUUAGGCCCCUAUGUAUUUACUACCUCCCUGCAAUCUUCCACCAGAAGUAGAAGGCACUGGCCAUUUAAAUUACUGGCAACCACUAGAGAAGAGAAUUACGGUGCCUUAGCUAUGGAACCACUUAUGAUCCUGCUUACAGUCUAGGUUUUAGAUUUGGUCGCUGACUUGAUGCUGCUAGACUCCAACUGCCUGAAACGAGCGGCUCUCCUGGACUGCUUGCUAGAAGCUUAAAGGUAUUGGGUUGGACUCCAUUGCUUGUUCAUGGCCUAGUGGCAGUGGUGGUGGCCUUGGGCCUCAGGUUGUGAUUAAUCAGACACUCUGAUGUGGAAACAUGAGGCUGGUGGAAUAUUCACCUGAUACAGUGAGGGUGGGAGGGAACGGG
rnacentral:lncRNA from 10 species